rnacentral:lncRNA from 1 species
CUGGGUGAGAGCAGAGGGCUCUGCCAGGAUAAUGAGUGCUACCCUUGGGGCCUGCCCUGGGCAAAUAAGUAAGAAAGUUUGUCUUCAACAGCUGCACCCCCACCUCACCGCCUCGGUCUGCAACCUCUUCCUCAGUCCCAUAGUUUCUUUUCUCCACUUUUUCCCCAAAGGCUUAAGGCCCAGACAAAGACACUCAGUGCUCCAGUUCUGCGACAGGGACCCUCCAGCUGCAGUGCAUGGGGAGCUGCGUGAGUCAGCCUGGCAUGGACUGUCUUAUGUCGUAAUUACAGAAAAGGAAACAAGAUUGCUUCAGAUUUAUAAAAACUGGAAGGUUCUAUUGCUGCACGUGAACAGAUUCUGUUCCAGGAUCCCGUGCCUCCAGUAACCCAUGCUUUCAUUUUAACAUGGAACAAAAGCGAACUUUAUAAGCUUGCCUGUCUAAAGGGAAUAUGCCCCUGCUCUUUAGCCUUUUGCUUCAGGGAGUUAGAGGAAUGAGUGCGAAGUGAGGGUGUGAAAAAGAGGCUAGACACAGCAGUGCUGCCUGCUGAAUUAUUUUCCAUCUGGAGGGAAGGCUGUCGCUUUCGGUAUAUUCCUCAAAGGAAGAAAGAAUGGUAGUGAACUCAAUCAAGUUUCGAUAUUACCUUGUAGUAGAUUUAAUAAGAAGGAAAAUGACUUGAGUCACAGUGCUGAGGGCUUGGGCAAGGCCCAGUGUAUUGGGAUGAUCUGAUGCACUCUUUCCUGGAUUUAUCUGAAUCUUUGCAGAAAGCAGAGAAGGGGUUGGAGCACCAUGUUGGUCCUGACAGUAGUAGAAAGAGGGAGGUGUAUGAAAAAUGCGGCACGCAUGCGUAUGGUGGAGACGGGCAUAGCCACACGUAUUGGAGACAGUUUAGCAGACUAGUUAGGAGUAUAGGUGCUGACAAUAAACUGCUUGGGCUCAAGAGUUUUCUCUUGCUAGCUGUAGGCCUUGGGCAAAUUACUCAGCCUCUUGAAGUUUCUGUUAACCUCUCUGAGUUUACUGUUCCUCAUCUGUAAGGUUGGGAUAAUAGUGGUACAAAUCUCAUAAGGGUUUUUGAGUAUUAACUUGAGAUGAUUCAUGUAAAGCACUCAGCCUAUAAUAAGGGAAUCAUUAUGAUGAGUAAAUAUAUCCACUGCAGAUGACAUUGCUAUUAGAUGGAGGUAAGGACCUCAACGUGAUGAAUGGAUUUGGUGAGCAGAGCAGUGGAGGUAAUUAUCUUCCUUUACUUCUUUUUCUGUUACUGAUACUACCAUUAAUAAUAUAGUUUCCAAUAAUUUUGAACUAUUAAAUGUCAGACAGAGUUCUGGAAUUUUUGUGUGUGUCUGUGUGAGGAAGAUUGGCCCUGAGCUAACAUCUGUGCCAGUCUCCCCUACCUUAUAUGUGAGAUGCUGCCAAAAAAGCAUGCCUUGAUAAGUGGUGGCUAUGUCCAUGCCCAGGAUCUGAAACUGGCGAAUCCCAGGCCACUGAAGCGGAGCACGCGAACUUAACUGCUAUGCCACUAGGCCAGCCCCCUCAAGGAUACUUAUUUUAUACUUCAAGUGGUAAUCUAAUAUUAUUUUAUUCAUUUUGUUGCUCAAAUUCUUCCAGUUUUGGCCACUAGGAGUUCUUUCAGUUGGCUCAUAUGUUCCUUUGACACCCCCCCAUAUUUUUCUGUUUUUUAGCCAUCUUUUAUUUUCUGGCAUUCCAAGGGAUUCCCAGCUCAUCUUGUAUAUUUCCUGCCUCUGUCCUAGAAUCAACCAUUUCUCUAAGGGGCCUGGUUUCUCUUACUGGAGAGUGCAAUUAGAAACCAAGAUGUGAGUACUAUGUGUGCUCAUCGCUAUUGGGAUGUUAUUGCUUUUAGGCCCUCUCAGCUGCAGAGCAAGGAAAUAUGUGCAUGUAUACUAACCUUCAUAUAUAUAAAUAUCCAUAAAUUUUUCUUCCUAUGUGUAUCCGUCUGUAUCUAUAUCAAGGUAAACAUGAGUUCAUAUCAAUGUCUCCAACUCUCAUCCAUUACUAAUGGAUCAUUUCCUUGCUUAUCUGUAAUCACCUGCUCAAACAGUGAGAAACCUAGCUUCCAUCUUUGGCCAUGCAUUCACUUAAUUUGUUCAAUUCCAGUAUACAUGUAUAGUGGUUUCAAAAUGUUAACCUGUACCCCACGGGGGCACAACAUUAUCAAUUAGAGUACAGUGCUUAUGAAUGGUUCUUUUUGCCUUUAAUCUUACAGAGUCUACUCAUUUACAAAGUUAUUUAGAUCACUACCUUUCCCCCACAUUCAGUGAAGUUGUCUCAUUCAUUUGUAACACAGUGUGGUUGGUGGAUCAUAUGUUAAAACUAUGUUUAGCUUUGUAAGAAAUUGCCAAACUGUCUUCCAAAGUGUCUGUACCAUUUUACGUUCCUACCAGCAAUGAAUGAGACUUCCUGUUGUUUUGCAACCUCACCAGCAAUUGAUGUUGUCAUUUUUUUGAAUUUUAGAUAUUCUAAUAGGUAUG